AUUGAACGCUGGCGGCAGGCCUAACACAUGCAAGUCGAACGAGUGGCGGACGGGUGAGUAAUGUCUGGGAAACUGCCUGAUGGAGGGGGAUAACUACUGGAAACGGUAGCUAAUACCGCAUACCAUCAGAUGUGCCCAGAUGGGAUUGGCUUGUUGGUGGGGUAACGGCUCACCAAGGCGACGAGCCCUAGCUGGUCUGAGAGGAUGACCAGCAAAAUUGGAACUGAGACACGGUCCAGACUCCUACGGGAGGCAGCAUUGGGGAAUAUUGCAAAAGGGGCGCAAGCCGGAUGCAGCAAUGCCGGGUGUAUGAAGAAGGCCUUCGGGUUGUAAAGUACUUGCAGCGGGGAGGCGUUACCCGCAGAAGAAGCACCGGCUAACUCCGUGCCAGCCGCCGCGGUAAUUC
rnacentral:rRNA from 1 species